ensembl:snRNA U6 U6 spliceosomal RNA
AUGCUCUCUUAGGCAGCACAUAUACCAAAACUGGAAUAAUACAGAGAAGAACAGCAUGGCCCCUUUGCAAGGAUGAUAACACGAAGGGAAAUGCAUUGCCAUUUCCA